GCCAGGCCCUCCCGGCGUGACGAUCCCCGGGGCCUGUGCAGGCCAGGCACCGGGCCGGAGCGCGGGGGGUGUCGGAGGCCCGGGGCCUCCCUGAGGAGCAGGCUGGGCUCCGAAAGCCUCCUCCAGGCAGCGGCGCCCCCGAGAGGCCGGGCUCUGUGCGCCCUCGCGUCCUGCCUCCCGUACAGUCGGGCCCCACGAGGACCCUGCGGCUGAGGGCUGCUGGGGGCAGAGUCAGGGCCGUGGCCGCAGCCAGGGUGAGCCGUGGGCUGCCACAGGGCCGCAGGGUGGCAGGUGCGUCCUGCCCGUGGUCUCACCACACGGCCCUGUGGGACGCCCCCAGUGUCAGGCCUCGCGGUGGCGGCGGCACCAGGGCCCUGGGGCCAGAGCUCUGACCCCAGCAGGAGGGCUUGUCUGUGGCCUGGGCCAACGUGGGGACCUCGGAGACCUCACCGAGAGGCACACGGCUCAACCCGGGACACAGGCACCCAAGGCCCCAGCAAGUGGGCAAAGACGUGGGAAGCGGGUCCCAGGGUGGGUACGUGCUGCGCCCCACGGAGCACACGGGCAUCAGCACACAGACCCGGGUUUAAGCAGCCGGAUGACGAACCCCACUGCGGGAACGACAGCCCCGCUUUGCCGACAGGACGGAAGCGUAAGGGAGCCUGGUCCAGUGGCUCACUUGUCUGCUUGCUCAUUUAUCGAGCACCAGCUGCAUGCCCAGCACUGUACUGGGCACGGUGGGUAUAGCCAUGAGAUGGCACUGUCCCUCCAGGCGCGGAGUCUGGGGGCUUGAAGGGUUGGGGGCCCCUGCCCCCCUAAGACACCAACAGAUAAGGACAAAGCAGGACAAACACUCUGGAGAACGUGGCCUUCUCCUGAGGCUGGGCCCCGGCUGGCUGCAGGGACGGCGCUGGGGCGCAGCAGGGGAGAUGCCAGCUGGGCUACCAGCCUCACCAGGGCACCUGGCAGGAUACAACAGGAGCCCCCAGCGGCCACGUGCCCGCUCACAGGGCGCAGCGGGGGCCCGGUGCUGGG
rnacentral:lncRNA from 1 species